AGGCAAUUGUUUCCCAUUAGGGAAAUGUUGGGUUUCCUUUAGUGAUGAAAGGCAAUAACACAACAUGUAAUUCCUGUAGCUGUAAUAUAAUGCGUCCAGAACCAAAACACAACCCUCCCGGGAGCCAUAUCUACAGAGUGCCCAGAAAGGAAGUGAGGUCUCAGAAGCCACUGGAUCCUGGAACACCUCACUCUUGCUGAUUAAAUUCUGCAGCCUGCAGAGAACCCCCUUGUCUCUGGCAAGCACCUUCUGAACACAAAAUAGAAAAGACCUCAAGCAGAGCUGUGGGGAGAAAAAUGUUCUGCCUUCCAGUGAUGUGAGAAAAGAAAACACAGUGAAGGCCAGGGUAAAGGAGAAGAUGAAGUUGUUUUGAUUUUCCCACAGGGGAUAUUCAGCAGAUGAAUUUGCCUAUUUUCUUUCUCCUAAACAGCCAGGCUACCUUGAGAGAAGCAAGAGAUCCUCUCCCUUUUGCCAAAAUCUGCCUCCCCCAGGAGACUGUGCUUUGCUCAUAC
rnacentral:lncRNA from 1 species